AUACGGGAGGCAGCAGUAAGGAAUAUUGGACAAUGCCCGCAAGGGUGAUCCAGCCAUGCCGCGUGCAGGAAGAAGGCCCUAUGGGUCGUAAACUGCUUUUACACCGGAGAAAACCUUCCCUCGUGAGGGGAGCUGAUAGUAUGGUGAGAAUAAGCAUCGGCUAACUUCGUGCCAGCAGCCGCGGUAAGACGAAGGAUGCAAGCGUUAUCCGGAUUCAUUGGGUUUAAAGGGAGCGUAGGUGGCCUUAUAAGUCAGUGGUGAAAUCUCCUCGCUUAACGAGGAAAUUGCCAUUGAUACUGUAGGGCUUGAGUACAGUUGCUGUGGGCGGAAUAUGACAUGUAGUGGUGAAAUACAUAGAGAUGUCAUAGAACACCGAUUGCGAAGGCAGCUCACAAAGCUGUAACUGACACUGAGGCUCGAAAGUGCGGGGAUCAAACAGGAUUAGAUACCCUAGUAGUCC
rnacentral:rRNA from 1 species